rnacentral:rRNA from 1 species
UACCAGCACCCCGAGUGGUCGGGACGUUUAUUGGGCCUAAAGCAUCCGUAGCCGGUUCUACAAGUCUUCCGUUAAAUCCAACUGCUUAACAGGUGGGCUGCGGAAGAUACUAUAGAGCUAGGAGGCGGGAGAGGCAAGCGGUACUCGAUGGGUAGGGGUAAAAUCCGUUGAUCCAUUGAAGACCACCAGUGCCGAAGGCGGCUUCCUGGCCUGCAACUGACGCUGAGACGCGAAAGCGUGGGGAGCGAACCGG